rnacentral:tRNA from 1 species
UCCCUGGUGGCUCAGAGGGUAAAGCGUCUGCCUGGGAUGCGGGAGACCCGGGCUUGAUCCCUGGUCGGGAAG